CCAAAACCUGGAUCCAAUUAAGCUCACCGUCGACCCAGUUCUGUGAGCAACCGACCUGGUUUUUGGAAAGCCACCGAAAGCUCAUCUGUUGAAGACGUAUGAAAAAUCAUCUCCUUUCAAUUGAGAAUUCACACAUAUAGAGACAGUUUGAGAGAUGUCAGGAGGAGGCAGUGGGGGCAGAGGAGGGCCAGGGCCCAUCCCACCCCGAUGGCUCCUCUGCCCACGCAAGAGUCACACUCUCAUAGGUGACAAAUUCCUGGCAUUCAAGACCCCACUCAGCUCAAGGUUCGAUGACCAGGUGCCACCUGAACACCGGUUUUCCCCAGCUAUGCUCUUUGCCUCCAUGAAGAGCUAUAAGGUG